rnacentral:rRNA from 1 species
UACGAAGGGGGCUAGCGUUGUUCGGAUUUACUGGGCGUAAAGCGCACGUAGGCGGAUCGUUAAGUCAGGGGUGAAAUCCUGGAGCUCAACUCCAGAACUGCCUUCGAUACUGGCGCUCUUGAGUCCGGAAGAGGUGAGUGGAACUCCUAGUGUAGAGGUGGAAUUCGUAGAUAUUAGGAAGAACACCAGUGGCGAAGGCGGCUCACUGGUCCGGUACUGACGCUGAGGUGCGAAAGCGUGGGGAGCAAACAGG